rnacentral:rRNA from 1 species
GAUGAACGCUGGCGGCGUGCCUAAUACAUGCAAGUCGAGCGGUAAGGCUCCUGCAGAUUGUUUGAUAUAUACAGAUAAGGGAAGGCUCCCAAGUCUGAUCGAAUAAUGUGCUGGAGUACACGAGCGGCGGACGGCUGAGUAACACGUAGGAACGUACCCCAAACUGAGGGAUAAGCACCAGAAAUGGUGUCUAAUACCGCAUGUGAUCUUCGGAUUAAAGCUCCGGCGGUUUGGGAACGGCCUGCGCAUGAUUAGCUUGUUGGUGAGGUAAAAGCUCACCAAGGCGACGA